rnacentral:rRNA from 1 species
AGAAUCAACGCUGGCGGCGUGCCUAACACAUGCAAGUCGAACGAGAAAGUGGAGCAAUCCAUGAGUAAAGUGGCGACCGGGUGAGUAACACGUGACUAACCUACCUUCGAGUGGGGGAUAACCUAGGGAAACCUGGGCUAAUACCGCAUAACAUCUUUGGAGUGGAAAUUCUGGAGACCAAAGGAGCAAUUCGCUUGAAGAGGGGGUCGCGGCUGAUUAGCUAGUUGGCGGGGUAAUGGCCCACCAAGGCUUUGAUCGGUA